GAUGAACGCUGGCGGCGUGCCUAACACAUGCAAGUCGAGCGAUCUUCUUCGGAGGAGAGCGGCGGACGGGUGAGUAACGCGUGGGUAACCUGCCCUGUACACACGGAUAACAUACCGAAAGGUAUGCUAAUACGAGAUAAUAUACUUUUAUCGCAUGGUAGAAGUAUCAAAGCUCCGGCGGUACAGGAUGGACCCGCGUCUGAUUAGCUAGUUGGUAAGGUAACGGCUUACCAAGGCGACGAUCAGUAGCCGACCUGAGAGGGUGAUCGGCCACAUUGGAACUGAGACACGGUCCAAACUCCUACGGGAGGCAGCAGUGGGGAAUAUUGCACAAUGGGCGAAAGCCUGAUGCAGCAACGCCGCGUGAGCGAUGAAGGCCUUCGGGUCGUAAAGCUCUGUCCUCAAGGAAGAUAAUGACGGUACUUGAGGAGGAAGCCCCGGCUAACUACGUGCCAGCAGCCGCUGUAA
rnacentral:rRNA from 1 species